GUUUGGGAAUGUACAACUCACAUCGUUAAAAAAAAGUUUAUCGCCUACCAGCCAUCCGUAUUGCGCCCUGUUCUCCAAUCAAUCACGAAGCGAAUCAUUUAAUCAACCGUGUAUCUAGGCAUGAGCCGUAAGCCGUUGUCCGACGGACGAUUCCCAAUGCUGCUGGUGGUGGUUCGUUUCUCACGCACAGCACUAUAGAUCGUAGGCGAAUCGUAAUCGUGAUGCUGUUGGAAUUUCUACUUCCGGUCGAAUGAAUGAGCUGAGUAAAGCGAACUGGUCCGCGACUUGAAGGAGAAGAACGACGUCUUAUGGGAGACGAAACGUUGUGCUUGUGCCAGGCUAACCGACACGCGGCACGAAUGCUGGCUGGCUGCCCGCAGUGAGGCGAAUUUAUCGAUAUUUAGUGUCAGAUUUAUGCGUUCGAUCGUGGUGUGGCACCGUGUGUGGCUUCGGAUGUCUUGUUUCGAUAGUUGGGCGUACCGGUGCAGUGAGGGCCUUCUUCGGUUUCGUUCCUCGAUCUCGCUAAGGUCGACUCAAUGAACGAGGAACCUGGAACGUUGAAUGAAACGAUUGAAACACCGACCAGCGCAAAGCAAACAACCGCUGGUGGAUCGGGAUGAAUGAAAUCAAAGUUAUACAUCUGUGGCAUUAAUAAGAUGAUUUGCGUGCACCGGGCCUGCAGUCAAUGGACAGUGCUGUGUGAACUAUUCGCUUUGUGUGGUCUAUUAUCACGUUGACAUGCGUCGGAACAAUUAACUCGUGGUUUUUGGUGACUGAGCAACAAAAUACUGCUAUUGUUUCUUCUACAAAAUUGCUUCUAUUCCCGAUCACGAAAAUUAAGGUUCUUGCGACGUCCUAGCCUUCGACAACUGCUCCGUUUUCAUCCCAAAGUUAUUGUAUAUUAUAUUUGUUUUAACGAACGUUUGCUUUCAAUGAUUUUGAUGAUUUUAAAACUACAUGGAAAGAAAGGGAGGAAAAAUUAAGAAAGAAGCUCUGUUGACAAAAUACAACGGCAACGUCAAGUGCGAUGACAGCCGACCGCGGAUGUACGCAGCCACUUAAGGAUGAGCCACGAUCGCAGCCGAAGAGAAAAAACCUAGCCAGAGAGAGCCGGAGAAAGAGAGCGAAGGGAAAGGGCGAAUGACCGCGUUACACACGGCAGUAACAGCCAUAAAG